UGAACACUUAUGUGGAGGGGGUGGGUCGGGUUUGGGAAGAUCGGUGGAUGUAGAGCCUCAAUCGGAAAUCGCGUUGGUAAAAUCAGAGGCUGUCAGAGCAGGGGAUGUCAAUACUGUGUUAUCUGUGGUGGUGGAAGGUUGUUUGGCUUCCGACGAAUUCAAAUGCAAUGUUAUUAGGAAUUAUUGGUUUCAUUAUCUGUAUGAAUCAGUUUGUAGAACUAAAUCAUAAAAGCUUGUUUUUGCCCUACCCAUAGUUUAAUUGCUUGAACUACAAGAUAUUGAUAUUUUGGUGGAUCGAUUGGAUGGUAUCUUUAGAAGAUAUGCAAAUGCUUUUAUCAAUCUCUGCAAGGAGAAAUGGCUUGAGGGGUUUACUGUUUUGCAUUCUAGUUAUACCAUGUCUUCUUGGAAUUGUAUAUAAGAUGCACUUUUUUCUUUAAUUAUUCUUACUAAAGACUAAAGAGUAUCGGCUUUUGUUUGUGUGUCUUGUUACCAGAGAUUUGGAAGUACCAGCAAGCUGGCCUCCCUAUUUCGACGUUCCACGCUUUGAAGAUUUAAGUAUCACCGACAAUUAAGACUCAUUUUCUCCAUUGUUUAGUUGUAUAUUUGUGAAUAUUCUAUUUAUCCAUUGUUUCCAACAGUUAAGAUUCAUUUUCUCCUUUAAAAUUGCAGGUUUAUUGAUGAUGUAUACUAGAUAUGUCAUUAAAAUAAGCAACUCACUUUGACCCUAAAUAAUAUGCAAACUUGCAUAUUUUUUCAAUUUAGGUGACUAUAAGCUGAAGAAAUGUGUUGUCUCAAACCCUUUUACAACCUGGAGUGAGGAAUAUGAAUCUUUGAUAUGGCAGAUCUGGAACUCGUACAUAUUGAUUUUAACUAACUCCUUUUUAGGUGUUAAUUGUGGACUAAUUUUGUUUUGAAUUCGACUAUAUCUGUUAUGGCUAUGAUGAGGUGCAAGGCUUGUUGGGGAAAAUGCAUAUGUCCAAAAAUAUGUGCUUUCAAGUUUUAUUGUAUUAGAGAUAAAAUAUGUAACAUCACAUUAUGUUUGUGAGAUUGGGAAUGUGUUGUAGGCCUUUUCAUUUUAAGAAAAUUAAAAAAUUUCAUUUC